UGCCUUGGAGAGCAUUCAUGUACAAGGCUUUUAAUACAUUCAUUGAUGAUGUGUUUGCAUUCAUUAUCACUAUGCCAACUGCACAUCGAUUAGCAUGUUUCCGUGACGACCUGGUAUUUGUAGUUUACCUAUACCAAAGAUGGCUGUAUCCUGUUGAUAAGAAGAGGGUCAAUGAAUAUGGAAUAUCAUAUGAAAACAAGACAGAUGAAAGCAAAUCAUCAAAACAACAUCAAGACUAGAAGAUAUUUAUUAAUAAUUAAUUGUAGAAUUUAUAGAAAAUUUAUCUGACUUAAUAAUGAUCAAGAAAUAUCUAAAAGAUAUCCAUGAUACAACUAUGAUAAUAUUUGAUUGUAAGCAUAAAAAAAAACAUGUUUAAUUU